rfam:Camelus ferus unplaced genomic scaffold scaffold1374, whole genome shotgun sequence.
GAGGAUAUAGCUCAGGGGUAGAGCACGUGCUUAGCAUGCAUGAAGUCCUGGGUUCAAUCCCCCAUACCUCCA